rnacentral:misc_RNA from 1 species
GAUGAAGAACGCAGCGAAAUGCGAUAAGUAGUGUGAAUUGCAGAAUUCAGUGAAUCAUCGAAUCUUUGAACGCACAUUGCGCCCCUUGGUACUCCAUGGGGCAUGCCUGUUCGAGCGUCAUUUAUACCCUCAAGCUCAGCUUGGUGUUGGGCGUCUGUCCCGCUUCGUGCGCGGACUCGCCUCAAAUGCAUUGGCAGCGGUCUUGCCAGCUUCUCGCGCAGCACAUUGCGCUUCUAGAGGCUUUGGCGGAUCGGCGUCCAUCAAGUACACCCACAGUUUGACCUCGGAUCAGGUAGGGAUACCCGCUGAACUUAAGCAUAUCAAUAAGCGGAGGA